rnacentral:lncRNA from 1 species
AACGGAUAUAGACCUUUGCAUUAAGCGUUGAAACUUUUGAUACGUCUCUCUAUAGUAGUAAGAGGGUACGAACCUUUUCCGUAUGAUUGCUUUCAUCUCUCUCCGAGAGGAAAUUGGUUGCUCUCUAUUACAUCAUCUAGUGAGGAGUAGUUGAUCUCACCAUAUUAAGGCGUAGUUAGUGAACUCUACUGUUGCUAAUUUGAUCUUCUUU